rnacentral:lncRNA from 1 species
AAGUUGCCCUGAAGAUCAGUAAAGAAGAGAACAGUGUAGGUGUUGGCUGGGCCUGAAUAGGAGCUUCUGUUCAACUGGAUUGAGGACUGAAAGGGAGUUUCCCCUAAAGAAAACAGUCAACAGAGCAAUUCCAUGGCAUGGCUAGUGAGAAGAAGAGGGGACUGGCCACUGAUACCGACCCCGAACUUGUCCAGCUGGGUGGCCACACUGGUCCUCCUGAGACACCCAAGCAAUGCAGUCCUCUCCUUAUCCAAAAGAGGAACAGCUCCAAACCUGUCUCCUCAGCCUGAGUGUAAAGGAAUGUGAACCCCUCUCCCCCAAGGAGGGGGAGACAGCCCCCAAAGACAUGCAGGUAAGUGCCCUUCUUGCUUGUGUACUUAAACGCAUUUUCUCCUGUGUCUCCUGACUUGGGAGAAGCAGCCUAUUUCUCACUCUCCUGUGCUUCUGGAAGUUGAC